CACCUCACCUCUGCUCUCGGUCUCCAUCUCACACCUAAAAAACCAGCACCAUGGAAAUCCCUUCUCUUGAUUCUUCCUCGAUCUAAUCAAUAACCCCAGAUGUGGCUAAUUAAAUCUCAAACCUGCUGGAAAUAGAUUUUCGAGGAGUUUGAGAAAACUUAAUCGCCCUUGAAGAAUCAAACUAGAUGUGUUGCUGCAUUUCUAGAUCUGCAAGGUUUUCUGUUUUCUUCAGGGUGGUUGGUUAUUGAUGCUAUUCGUGGUGGGAUUAUUUUGUUAAAUUAUAUGUUCUACCGGUUCGAAUAAGUUAUUGGGGUAUUAAGAUUGUUAAACCACAUGUUGUUUCUUAUAAGGUAUGGUGGGGGUAUGAGUUCAGCUAAAUCCACUCCAGAGAGUGACACUGUAGCGUGUAGCUUUCUAGGUACAUAUACUUUACUUCUUUCAUAGUGAUGAACUCAACAACUUUCAAUGGUAUUCUGAUACUUGGGUCUGGUUUCUUGUUUUGUAAUUGGUGAAUCUCUAAAUUAGAAGUGUUUAUACUUACACCUACUACAUACAUUAUUGUUAUCUGUAUAUUACCUUGAGUUGAUGUAGUCUCCUUUGACAAGUUCCGCGAUAAUGUCUUAUGAGAUUUUCUCAUAUUAUUUUUUUGAGUUUCCUUUCCAGAGAUAGGAUAUUUAUGAAAUUACAGGACUCUAUCUUUGGAUUCCCUGAGUUUGACAUUCAUCCAUGUGUACUAAUUUUGGUGUGGUAACAUGCAAGAGGGUUAAAAAAGCAUUUGAAGAGGCUCAAUGCGCUUAAGCAUUGGAUGCUUGUCAAUCUUGGUACUACCUUUAGAUUUUUACACAGUAUGAUGGAAACUCAAGGAGUCCUGAUUGUAGUUGCAAGCUUGCAGAUCAUGCUGGGAUUUAGUCAAGUAUGGGGGCUUUUUACGCUGCACACAUUCAAUUCGUUUCUAAAGAUUGUGCUGGCAUAUAAUCUAAUUGCAGCUUACUUAGUUAUUUCUUCGUGAUUGAAUCACAUGUUUUGCAUCCCUCUCAGUAUGGAACCUCUAGUUGUAUUGGUUGCAAUAAUGAUUAUUGGUAGAGGAGAAGACACUCGAACAUUGUGGAGUGACAAGUGACAACAGACUACAUAAGCAGCAGAAGCUCAAUGAUAAACGAACGACGAUGAUCCUUGUCGUAUGUGAACCAGGGACACAACACAUGGAUGCUUUGCUUGAUAUCAUUUGUGAAGUAUUGUUAUAGGAGGAGCUGAAUUAUAAUUUUGUUUUUUUUAUCAGUUGUUUAUUAGUUUAGCAUGUUGUUGUCAGAACUUAACAAUCUCGGACAUGUAUUCUCUGAACUCAGUAUUUCAUUUUUUUUUUGUAGUUUUACACCCAAUGGAAUGAAUGUAAAAUUUUCAGUUAAAUUUGA